CGGGUGCAUCAAGAUCCACUUUCACGUCAGGAGCACUGACAUCUAACUGGGCAUCAGGUAGAGAAACAUCAAUAUCUGCCUUCGGCACAGUGGCAUUCAAGUCUAUGUCAGAACCGGUUAGUUUUGGGCCGGAGAUUCCAAACUUGGGCAUUUUGAAUUUGGGCAUUUUCAACUUUCCAUCGGGGCCUUCCACAUCUGGACCUUCAACACUUACAUCCACAUCUGGCCCUUUAAAUUCACCUUCAAGUUUAGGUAGGGAGUCACCUUUUC